CCGCCCUUCCGCGCACGCGCAGCUCGGCGCCCUGCGUGGUCCUCGGAGUGCCGGCGUGCCCUCCUGCGACCGCUCUUUCCCCCCAGGACAGGUCUUCCCAGCGCCCCCUCUUUCCGGGCUGGAGCCUUGCACACGCUCACUCUCAUGGUUCCUGGGCUGACUUUUUCAGCUAGAGAAAGACAGAAGGCAGAGGAGAGACAUCCCAGUAUCAGGCUUUCCUCCUGUAAUAUGAUUUGCCUGUGUGGCUCUGGGCUGUGAAACCUGUAGAGUGAAUGGUAGAGGGAGAAAAGGAAGAGAAGAGGAAGAGAUGAGAAACUUCACGUCACUUCUCCACUCCCCAUGGUCCUCCCAUGGGAUGCUGGGGGCUAGAACCCGUGUUUGCAGAGUACUGGAACUUGCACUCUACCAGAUGAGCUAUUUCCUGGCCUCUGAAAUGCUUGGUUUUCAUCAAUGAGGCAAACUGCAUCUAGAUUGUGUCUCUUUCUUGGUAGCAAACAAAGAAAAGUAGUCCCUUGUGCUUGCUUUUCCCUUUUGAGAAAGGAUUUGCUAGAGACUCACCUUUAGGACACAUUA